rnacentral:rRNA from 1 species
GGUCUACUAUGAACGUGCCGGUCGUGACCGGUUUCCGUAGGUGAACCUGCGGAAGGAUCAUU